CGAAUGCUGACAUAAGUAACGAUAAAGCGGGUGAAAAGCCCGCUCGCCGGAAGACCAAGGGUUCCUGUCCAACGUUAAUCGGGGCAGGGUGAGUCGACCCCUAAGGCGAGGCCGAAAGGCGUAGUCGAUGGGAAACAGGUUAAUAUUCCUGUACUUGGUGUUACUGCGAAGGGGGGACGGAGAAGGCUAUGUUGGCCGGGCGACGGUUGUCCCGGUUUAAGCGUGUAGGCUGGUUUUCCAGGCAAAUCCGGAAAACCAAGGCUGAGGCGUGAUGACGAGGCACUACGGUGCUGAAGCGACAAAUGCCCUGCUUCCAGGAAAAGCCUCUAAGCAUCAGGUAACAUCAAAUCGUACCCCAAACCGACACAGGUGGUCAGGUAGAGAAUACCAAGGCGCUUGAGAGAACUCGGGUGAAGGAACUAGGCAAAAUGGUGCCGUAACUUCGGGAGAAGGCACGC
rnacentral:rRNA from 1 species